UACUAUUCUGAUCCUAUUGAAGAUCCACUUACACUCUAUGGGCAUUACCCCUUCGAGUGGAUCAACGAGCGUCUAUACACCAUUGACCAUUAUGGACUUCAUUUUAGAUUCUAUAGCUCCAAGCCAUUAAUCAAAGUCGAACCUCUGUAUGGCAUCCAUGUAGGUGAUUAAAUCUUUGUUGUUCUCAUUGAGUUCAACAGGAUCACAUCUCGGAUCUAGAUACCAAAGUAUCUAUUCGACGGACGUGAUACUUUAUCGAAUCUC
rnacentral:lncRNA from 1 species